rnacentral:rRNA from 1 species
AAAAUACCUCUAAGAGUGAAGAUAUUCCUCUGAUUUUUAAGCAGAGGGGUCAUCUUAACUAGAGAUAAUCUGGCACGACGUAACUGGCAAGGUAGUAAGACAUGUGUCUUUUGCCAGCAUGAAGAGUCUAUUAAACACUUAUUUUUUGAGUGUAAAUUUGCUCAUGCAGUAUGGGCCAUAGUUCAAGUAGCUUCAAAUCUAUACCCCCCACAUAGUGCACGUAACAUGUUCGGCUAUUUAUUGCGGGUAUUGAUAAACAAUUUUCUGCACAUAUUCUUGUGA